rnacentral:rRNA from 1 species
GACAGAGGUGCCGAGCGUUAGGCGGAAUCACUGGGCUUAAAGCGUGUGUAGGCGGGCGGGCAAGUACCUUGUGAAAUCCCACGGCUCAACCGUGGAACUGCUGGGUAUACUGCCUGUCUUGAGCCAGCCAGGGGCAGUCGGAACAGACGGUGGAGCGGUGAAAUGCGUAGAGAUCGGAAAGAACACCAACGGCGAAAGCACUCUGCUGGGCCGACACUGACACUGAGAGACGAAAGCUAGGGGAGCGAAUGGG